rnacentral:lncRNA from 1 species
UGAUGGCUGAAAAGCUAGACAAUAAUCACAUCAAAAUUUAAAAUUUGUAUAGUUUGAUGAAUUUAAGUGCUUGAAUUUUUUUUAAGUUUUAUAGAAAUUUAGUGGUGCCUGACAUUUUAAAUUGGCAAGGGGGAGUAAUAUUUUUAAAGAUUGACAACAGUAUGGUGAUCCUAAACAGAACUCUUGCAAUUCCUAUAUUAAUAUUUGCGAGAAAGCGUAGCCUUUUUCUGUUACUGAUAUUUAUGGAAUAUUAUUGCCAUUUGCUAAAAUUGAUUGCCUGACAUCUUUAACCUGUAUAGUUAUGUGAAAGGUUGGAUACCUUUAAAGAGCCUUUUUUUUGCCUCCUGUUGAUGAUAGGACAUUUCCAUGUGAAUGAUGGUUGAGCAAUAACACAGCUUUCACAGUUAUCCUUUACUUGUUUGGAUCAUAGAACAGAAAAAAAACAUCACACAAAAAAAGUUACCAGCUGUUUUAGAGGUAAAUUCCUUUUUUGGAUUGAACAGUCCUCAGCAUAUAGUGGUAUUAAAUGUUGAAUUAAAGCUCAGACUUUGGUGAAACCUCAUAAUUUACUUGUCCCAAUAUUGUAUAUAGUAGAGUGUACCCUAUUGAUUUCAUUUUUAAAAAAAAAGAAAUUCUAUGUUUUUGGGACAGAUUACUGCAUUUGCUUCCUACGUACACUACAGUGUCAUACUCGUGAAGACACAGAAGGUGUCGGGUGCAACUCCAAGUAGUUGAUUGUACUUAAUAUUAAUUGACGUUUUUAACUUUUGAUUAAUUUGAAGCUUAUAGUUACUGAAAUUACUGUGUAGUGAGGUAUUAAACUAGAUAGACAUUAGUUGAUAUAAAAAAAAUUUUGAUGACGAAGGGGAGCCUUGGAGCAACGGUCAAGUUGUCUCCGUGUGACCUAUAGGUCACGGGUUCGAAUCUGUGGAAUACUGGAAUCAACCACUGAUACUUGUAUCAGGGUAGGUUGUCUACAUAACAUCCCUCGGGGUGCCCUUCUUCGGAUCCUGCGCGAUCGGGGAAUGCUUUUUGCACUGGGUUGCCUUGUAAUUUUUUUUGAUGACGUUGGUGUCUGAGUCAGUUUAUACACACAUGACUAAUUUAUCAUCUUCCACUAACACAAGUAUCAAAGGUAGCCUGGUGUACUAAGCUUCCGCUAUGCGCAGGGUCCAUGAAAAGGCCAAAUAACAAGGGUCUAUUGUAUGCAGCCAUACCCUGCAUUUUUGCAAGAGGCUGUUUCCUCGGCUCGAAAACAUGACCUCCUGAUCACAUGACAACAACUUUACCAGUUACGCCAAGGUUCCCCUUCCACUUGUACAAGUAUCAAGUAACUUUAUAGACUGUUUGAAUUCACCUACUCUUGCUUCUGCCCUAAUUUAAAUCUUAGAUUCCAAGGUUGUCAAUCUAAUUCUUCUUUAGUUAGACCACUCUCUUUCUUAUGUUUCUUUAAGUAAUCAUAUAAUCAAUCUACGGUUGGUUAUAAGCUAAUCCCUUUUUACUGUUAUUGCUGUUACUCAAAUCUUCUAAAAGACUCAGAAGCUAUGCCAUUGGCAGGUCCAAUUAGGCAUUAGAAAUUAAAUAGAAACUGUU